rnacentral:rRNA from 1 species
AGAACGAACGCUGGCGGCAGGCUUAACACAUGCAAGUCGAACGCUCGUAGCGAUACGAGAGUGGCAGACGGGUGAGUAACACGUGGGAACGUUCCCCUCGGUUCGGAAUAACUCAGGGAAACUUGAGCUAAUACCGGAUACGUCCGCGAGGAGAAAGAUUCAUCGCCGAGGGAUCGGCCCGCGUCUGAUUAGCUAGUUGGUGAGGUAACGGCUCACCAAGGCGACGAUCAGUAGCUGGUCUGAGAGGAUGACCAGCCACACUGGGACUGAGACACGGCCCAGACUCCUACGGGAGGCAGCAGUGGGGAAUCUUGGACAAUGGGCGCAAGCCUGAUCCAGCCAUGCCGCGUGAGUGAUGAAGGCCCUAGGGUUGUAAAGCUCUUUCGGCGGGGACGAUAAUGACGGUACCGCAGAAGAGCCCGGCUAACUUCGCGCCAGCAGCCGC